AUACGUAGGGGGCGAGCGUUGUCCGGAAUGAUUGGGCGUAAAGGGCGCGUAGGCGGCGCGGUAAGUCUGGAGUGAAAGUCCUGCUUUCAAGGUGGGAAUUGCUUUGGAUACUGCCGCGCUUGAGUGCAGGAGAGGUUAUCGGAAUUCCCGGUGUAGCGGUGAAAUGCGUAGAGAUCGGGAGGAACACCAGUGGCGAAGGCGGGUAACUGGGCUGCAACUGACGCUGAGGCGCGAAAGUGUGGGGAGCAAACAGGAUUAGAUACCCUGGUAGUCCACACUGUAAACGAUGAAUGCUAGGUGUAAGAGGUAUCGACCCCUUUUGUGCCGGAGUCAACACAAUAAGCAUUCCGCCUGGGGAGUACGGCCGCAAGGUUGAAACUCAAAUGAAUUGACGGGG
rnacentral:rRNA from 1 species